AGCUUUGCGCAGGGGCGGUAUCGUAGCCAAUGAGGUUUAUCCGAGGCGCGAUUAUUGCUAAGAGGUAAAUGCUCUCCUUCCCUGCUUCUAGGCACCUCCCAAGGCUCACAGGACCUGUAGCUGGGAAGGGCAAA